rnacentral:rRNA from 1 species
CCUACGGGUGGCAGCAGUGAGGAAUAUUGGUCAAUGGGCGGGAGCCUGAACCAGCCAAGCCGCGUGAAGGAAGAAGGCGCCAGGCGUCGUAAACUUCUUUUGUCGGGGAACAAAGGGCGCCACGUGUGGCGUUGUGAGUGUACCCGAAGAAAAAGCAUCGGCUAACUCCGUGCCAGCAGCCGCGGUAAUACGGAGGAUCCAAGCGUUAUCCGGAUUUAUUGGGUUUAAAGGGUGCGUAGGCGGAUUGAUAAGUUAGAGGUGAAAUGUCCGAGCUUAACUCGGGAACUGCCUCUAAUACUGUUGAUCUAGAGAGUAGAUGCGGUAGGCGGAAUGUAUGGUGUAGCGGUGAAAUGCUUAGAGAUCAUACAGAACACCGAUUGCGAAGGCAGCUUACCAAUCUAUAUCUGACGUUGAGGCACGAAAGCGUGGGGAGCAAACAGGAUUAGAUACCCUUGUAGUC